UAAUCGUUGAGUUGCGGGAGAUACUACUAGGCUAGGAGGCGAGAGAGGCCGACGGUAUUCCCGGGGUAGGGGUGAAAUCCUAUAAUCCCGGGAGGACCACCAGUGGCGAAGGCUGUCGGCUAGAACGCGCUCGACGGUGAGGGACGAAAGCUGGGGGAGCGAACCGGAUUAGAUACCCGGGUAGUCCCAGCUGUAAACGAUGCGGGCUAGGUGUUGGGGUGGCUACGAGCCACUUCAGUGCCGCAGGGAAGCCAUUAAGCCCGCCGCCUGGGGAGUACGGCCGCAAGGCUGAAACUUAAGGGAAUUGGCGGGGGAGCACCACAAGGCGUGAAGCUUGCGGUUCAAUUGGAGUCAACGCCGGGAACCUUACCGGGAGCGACAGCAGAAUGAAAGCCAGAUUAAAGGUCUUGCUGGACAAGCUGAGAGGAGGUGCAUGGCCGUCGCCAGUUCGUGCCGUGAGGUGUCCUGUUAAGUCAGGCAACGAUCGAGACCCGCACCCUUAGUUGCUACCGACCGAAAGGCGGGCACUCUAAGGGGACUGCCGUCGAUAAGGCGGAGGAAGGAGCGGGCCACGGCAGGUCAGUAUGCCCCAAAUCU
rnacentral:rRNA from 1 species